UAUCACUCAUAUCUCUCCCUCUUUGGCCGGUCAACUAAGGUCUUCUACUCUUUUCUUUAUCAUUUUCUCUCAACACAACACAAACAUUUCUCUCAUCCUCUCUCACCGGUGCUCAUCCUCCACCAUCUCCACCAUCUUUUUCCGGCAAAAUCGCCUCAAAGCUCUCUAUGAACCUCUAGGGCAUAUUUAUCUCUUUUGAUUUAAGAGUAGGCAACAAUCUUUUGAGACAGCUUUUUGGUGGCCAAUAGUAGUUAGACUAACUACUGAUGGAGAUUGAACUUUUGUAAUGGAGAUAUUAGAUGAUGUACAUUUUAGAAUAGGUUUGAGUCAUUCUUUUGUAUAUUAUAGUGGUUGUGACUUUAUUCCUACUGAUGGGACAAGCUGUUGAUAUGUAAUUAUUUAUUCAGACCUCUAUUCUUUCGUGGCCAAUAGUCAUUGUAAUUAAUGCUUAGAGCUCUGACUUACUUUGAGAGUAUUCUCAAUGGAAUUAUUAUGAUAA